rnacentral:rRNA from 1 species
GGCUACACACGUGCUACAAUGGGUAGUACAGAGAGUCGCAAAGCCGCGAGGUGGAGCUAAUCUCAGAAAACUAUUCUUAGUUCGGAUUGUACUCUGCAACUCGAGUACAUGAAGUUGGAAUCGCUAGUAAUCGCGAAUCAGCAAUGUCGCGGUGAAUACGUUCUCGGGUCUUGUACACACCGCCCGUCACACCACGAAAGUUGGUUGCACCUGAAGUAGCAGGCCUAACCGCAAGGAGGGAUGCUCCGAGGGUGUGAUUAGCGAUUGGGGUGAAGUCGUAACAAGGUAUCCGUACGGGAACGU